ensembl:snRNA U6 U6 spliceosomal RNA
GUGCUCGCUUCGACAGCACAUACACUAAAAUUGGGAUGAUACAGAGAAGAUUAUUAGCAUGGCCCCUGUGCAAGGAUGACACGCAAAUUCGUGAAGCGUUCCAUAUUUUU